CGAACGGGUAGCCGGCCUGAGAGGGCGACCGGCCACACUGGGACUGAGACACGUGCCCAGACUCCUACGGGAGGCAGCAGUGGGGAAUAUUGCACAAUGGGCGAAAGCCUGAUGCAGCGACGCCGCGUGAGGGAUGACGGCCUUCGGGUUGUAAACCUCUUUCAGCAGGGAAGAAGGCUUCGGUUGACGGUACCUGCAGAAGAAGCGCCGGCUAACUACGUGCCAGCAGCCGCGGUAAUACGUAGGGCGCAAGCGUUGUCCGGAAUUAUUGGGCGUAAAGAGCUCGUAGGCGGUCUGUCGCGUCUGGUGUGAAAUCCCGAGGCUCAACCUCGGGCUUGCAUCGGGUACGGGCAGACUAGAGUGCGGUAGGGGAGACUGGAAUUCCUGGUGUAGCGGUGGAAUGCGCAGAUAUCAGGAGGAACACCGAUGGCGAAGGCAGGUCUCUGGGCCGCAACUGACGCUGAGGAGCGAAAGCAUGGGGAGCGAACAGGAUUAGAUACCCUGGUAGUCCAUGCCGUAAACGUUGGGCACUAGGUGUGGGGCUCAUUCCACGAGUUCCGCGCCGCAGCUAACGCAUUAAGUGCCCCGCCUGGGGGAGUACGGA
rnacentral:rRNA from 1 species